UGGGGAAUAUUGCACAAUGGAGGGAACUCUGAUGCAGCGACGCCGCGUGAGUGAUGAAGGAAUUCGUUUCGUAAAACUCUGUUCUAUGGGAAGAAAAGGACUGUACCAUAGGAGAAAGCUCCGGCUAAAUACGUGCCAGCAGCCGCGGUAAUACGUAUGGAGCGAGCGUUGUCCGGAAUUAUUGGGCGUAAAGGGUGCGCAGGCGGCUUUACAAGUUGUAUGUGAAAUAUUGUGGCUCAACCACAAACGUGCAUCCAAAACUGCAAAGCUUGAGUUAAGGAGAGGUAAGUGGAAUUCCUGGUGUAGCGGUGGAAUGCGUAGAUAUCAGGAGGAAUACCGGUGGCGAAGGCGACUUACUGGACUUAAACUGACGCUCAGGCACGAAAGCGUGGGGAGCAAACAGG
rnacentral:rRNA from 1 species